GGCGCGGGUUAUUACCCCCACUCCCAACAACACUCACUCUCCUUUGUCCCAAAUUUCAGAACUACUUCACUGUCACUUCUCUCCCAAUUUUAGAAUUUUCAUCUCUCUUUUCUUCACUGUGAUUUUUGCAAGAAUCUCAAGAAAUGACAACUCCUAUUUCCAUGCAAUUCAAUCCAUCAAUUCUCUUCCCACCAAUUCUCCUCCUUUCUUCAGCAACAACAGCUUUCAUUGCACUAAUUGGAGACACAUCGAUUCGUGGCGAAAGCAGCUACUGGUGUUGUUGAUACUGUGGAAGAUAAACUUCUAGCUGAUAUUCAUGUUACUGAAACUCAGGAACCUAAUUCAAAGUUUGGAUCAUUUGGGAUCGCUGAAAGUUGAAAUGAUGUAUCUUAAAUGAUUGUGAUCGGAUAUGUGGCUUCUAUUAGGUAAUUUGCUCUGAGAGAAAGAAGACGCAGUUUACUGGAUAUCUAUUGCUAAGGAUUGUAGUUCAGAACAUCUAUUAAAAUUAUUCUAUGUGGUUAUUUUACCUGACUAGUUUAACAGCACGUGCAUCGCACGUGUUUAUUAUUUCUUACCCCUGAUUUCUGUUGUG